rnacentral:rRNA from 1 species
GCUUGUCUCAAAGAUUAAGCCAUGCAUGUCUAAGUAUAAAUGGUAUACAGUGAAACUGCGAAUGGCUCAUUAAAACAGUUAUAGUUUAUUUGGUAUUCGAAUUUACAUGGAUAACCGUGGUAAUUCUAGAGCUAAUACAUGCAUUACGCCUGACUUUUCGGAAGGGCAGUAUUUAUUAGAUAAAGCCAACGCUGGGUAAAACCAGUUUCCCUUGGUGAUUCAUAAUAAUUAAGCGGAUCGCAUGGCCUUGUGCUAGCGACAGUCCACUCGAUUUUCUGCCCUAUCAUGGUUGAGAUUGUAAGAUAGAGGCUUACAAUGCCUACAACGGGUAACGGGGAAUUAGGGUUCGAUUCCGGAGAGGGAGCCUGAGAAACGGCUACCACAUCCAAGGAAGGCAGCAGG